rnacentral:rRNA from 1 species
GAGACAGGUGGUGCAUGGUUGUCGUCAGCUCGUGUCGUGAGAUGUUGGGUUAAGUCCCGCAACGAGCGCAACCCCUACCCCCAGUAGCCAGCGCGUGGAGGCGGGCACUCUGUGGGGACUGCCAGGGACAACCUGGAGGAAGGCGGGGAUGACGUCAAAUCAUCAUGCCCCUUAUGGCUUGGGCUACACACGUGCUACAAUGGCGUUAACAGAGGGAUGCGAUGCGGCGACGCGGAGCGAACCCCAGAAACAGCGCCCCAGUUCGGAUUGCAGCCUGCAACUCGGCUGCAUGAAGCCGGAAUCGCUAGUAAUCGCGGAUCAGAAUGCCGCGGUGAAUACGUUCCCGGGUCUUGUACACACCGCCCGUCACACCAUGGGAGUUGGGAAUGCCCGAAGUCAGUGGCCCAACCGUAAGGGGGGAGCUGCCGAAGGCAGAUCCGAUGACUGGGGUGAAGUCGUAACAAGGUAGCCGUAUCGGAAGGUGCGGCUGGAUCACCUC